GUGGGGAAUAUUGGACAAUGGGCGAAAGCCUGAUCCAGCAAUGCCGCGUGAGUGAUGAAGGCCCUAGGGUUGUAAAGCUCUUUUACCCGGGAUGAUAAUGACAGUACCGGGAGAAUAAGCUCCGGCUAACUUCGUGCCAGCAGCCGCGGUAAUACGAGGGGAGCUAGCGUUGUUCGGAAUUACUGGGCGUAAAGCGCGCGUAGGCGGUUUUUUAAGUCAGAGGUGAAAGCCCGGGGCUCAACCCCGGAAUAGCCUUUGAAACUGGAAAACUAGAAUCUUGGAGAGGUCAGUGGAAUUCCGAGUGUAGAGGUGAAAUUCGUAGAUAUUCGGAAGAACACCAGUGGCGAAGGCGACUGACUGGACAAGUAUUGACGCUGAGGUGCGAAAGCGUGGGGAGCAAACAGGAUUAGAUACCCUUGUAGUCC
rnacentral:rRNA from 1 species